GAUGAACGCUGGCGGCGUGCCUAAUACAUGCAAGUCGAGCGAACAGACGAGGAGCUUGCUCCUCUGACGUUAGCGGCGGACGGGUGAGUAACACGUGGAUAACCUACCUAUAAGACUGGGAUAACUUCGGGAAACCGGAGCUAAUACCGGAUAAUAUAUUGAACCGCAUGGUUCAAUAGUGAAAGACGGUUUUGCUGUCACUUAUAGCUGGAUCCGCGCCGCAUUAGCUAGUUGGUAAGGUAACGGCUUACCAAGGCAACGAUGCGUAGCCGACCUGAGAGGGUGAUCGGCCACACUGGAGCUGAGACGCGGUCCAGACGCCUACGGGAGGCAGCAGUAGGGAAUCUUCCGCAGUGGGGGAAAGCCUGACGGAGCAACGCCACGUGAGUGAUGAAGAUCUUCGGAUCGUAAAACUCUGUUAUGAGGUAAGAACAAAUGUGUAAGGAACUAUGCACGUCUUGACGGUACCUAAUCAGAAAGCCACGGCUAACUACGUG
rnacentral:rRNA from 1 species